GGCAGCUCACCUCAACAGCCUUGGUGUAGAGGCCAGCGGUGGCGCGAACCUGCAGCAUGUACGAGGACUUGCGACCCUCGUUGCGUGCCCCAGCACCUGCAAUACCACCAGCAGCAAUCACCGCACAGCGGCGAGGAGAGUUGAGCAUUAAUACGCAGGGCCAUACAACACGUGGAUGAUGGGAAAGCAAUCAGGUUCGACCCUAGGAAGGGGAGGUGGUGAGCUGGCCAUCUCUCCGUCACCACCUGGGCCAGGGCAGUUCUUCCACCACCUGGCAACAAAGCCGUGUGGGGUGCAGGCACUCACAACUACUCCCUUGUUGGACUUCAUAAAAGGCUCCACCACCAUCACCUCCACCACUACCACCACUACCACCACCACCACCACCACCACCACCACCACCACCACCUAGGCUCGUGGCACUUGAUCACAGACCUACAGUCUGGUUAAGAGCGUGACCUGUUGCUCAAACUUCCUCCUCAUCCCCCAUCAUCUAAGGAAGUAAUAAGAUCUACGCUGCAUAUUAGUACGAUCACAUAUAUUAUUACUUACAGUGUUAACCUUUCUUGCUUUCUCUUGCUUACAGUAGGUGAUUGUAAGGAAGUAGUUGUUACAUCAGAUACUCUUACCUUGUAAUGGAUUAAUGCUUUCUGACAAGAUUUUUUGUCGUUGGGAAUUAUAUUAUUUUGUGUGCUGGUUUAUGUGCACACCAACAUUGUAUCAGUCUGUUACGGUGUGUAAAAACCAGAGUUUUACGUGUCUGGUUUUUACAAUUCCCAUUAUAGAAGAUCAAUAGCUUUAUUUUACUCAAACCGUGAGGUAGUUGACAACCACAAGCCGCUGCUUGGAUACCACUAUGACAAUCUCAGUACAAACAACAACAACAACAACAACUGCAUUAUUAUUAUUAGCAAUAAAUGUGAUGUACUUUGGGUAUAAUAUUUUGAGGAGCAUUGUGAGUAUUUCAGGUAGAACAAAAGCUAACAUUAACAUGAUCACUGAGUUUGAGUUUAUAAUACUUCUUAAUGUCAUAAGUUCGUAAUGCUCUUAACAUUAGAAACUCCUUCGUAAAGGAAGAUAAUUAUUACCCUCAUUAAAACUAUUUUUCCUAAAAGCUGACUGUUUGUAAGAAGAAACGAAAGUAAAAACUUUCAAGUCUAUUUUCUGACAGCUUAAUUAACAUAUAAGCUCACCAGAGUACCUCACAAUUGCACUUUCCAAAAAUUAAUCCAAAAUUUUCUUAAAAAUCAAAGUAUUGUUCCAUCUUUUAAGGAGGAAACCUCCCAAGGGCUUCACUGAAUCAGCAGGAGUUCCUCAAGGCUCCCGAUCAAGCCCUAAAUUUUGCAAUUUAUAAAUGAGAAUGGCCCUUCAGUUUAUGUAGAAUUAGAGCAUUUUCACUUAAUUUGAAGAAAAUAUAAUCCACGUAGUGACCGCCACGUAAGACAGUCACAGCUUCGGGCAAACAGGAAGUUAUCAUUAAAACAAGUAACGAAUCACAGCAUAUAUCCAAAGUAAAGUGUACAAUCUUGGCAGGUUCAAGUUGGUUCAGUUGUCUAUGAACUUUACAAGACGUUGCAGGAAUCAUCAUUAAAUGGUUACCAUUUUAUGUUCACGACUCUCAUACAGGUUUACGUAAUAUUAAAGUUUCACAGCAUCCCCACACAUGAAGAGGACAAAAAUAAUCUCUCACCACCAGGACCAACACAAUACCCAUGCAACGAGUACAAAGCAAAGCCCUCCAUUUUAUUUUAAACGUUUUUCUGAAAGAAAAUAGAGAAUACAGGAUGGAAGUGCUAUACACGCUGCAAAAAAAAAAAAAUAAAAUAAAAAUUAAAAUAAAUAAAUAAACAUGAGAUUCCAUAACUUCUCUCUCCAGCUCUCUUUAAAAAAAAUCCACAAAUUAAAGUGAAUGUAGGAUAUAAAUAUGGACAAAAUCCCUGUUACAAGAUAACAGACUAAACUAAUAACAAAGAGAGGACACUGCUGAGAUGUCUGUAGAGCGGAGGAGGCGUGUGAGAGCAAGUUAUCGCUCAAGUGAUAACCUUGCUUUUACAUCCCUGACAGAAAGAACACCAUUACGUCAACACUAAAGACUAACAUGUAAAACCAGCCACUCACAACCUACUAUAUGUCAAUAUAACAGAAAACAAGAAUAUACAUAAACUCGAAUACCCAAGACCUAUAAUUCAAAAUGAUGAAAAAAUGAAGAGAAAUGAGAUGUCAAAAAUCUCCAUUUACACAUAACGAACAAAAAAAUCCCCCCCUCCCCAGAAUAAAAAGAAACUAGUAAGCCAGAAAUGAGUCUGGUGUUGUACUUUACAUGAGAGUACGUGUAGCAACCAGAGUACUACAAGCACUCAUUAAUGAAUUUACCUUGAGGUGUGUACCUGCCAAGUAGCGCAGCCCCAAAGGCAUCGUCUAGUCUUCACAACAAUCUACACAUAAAAACUAAAUGAAAAAUACUACAAAAAUCUUACAAACCCACAAUGAUUCAGCAACAUACCUUUUUAAUCCCUGCUUUCACAUGCAUCCACACCCCAACAUGAACCAAAUUUCUAUUCCCCAUUUUAUUCUUCUUGCCUAUUUACUUGUAUUUCCUAUAUCCCCACUUUUCCACCAUCACCAUUCUUAUAGUAAAAAAAAAGCUAAUUAUAUUUCUCUUCAGAUUUAAAGAUGCUACCAUUACAGUGCUAUUUUAAUAAUUCUAGUGUAUCCUGAAUAAUAAUUAUUCCAUGUUUCUUUUUUGUAUUUCACAC